rnacentral:tRNA from 1 species
GUCCCCGUAGAGCAGUGGAUAGCGCGUUGGACUUCUAAUCCAAAAGUUGUGGAUUCGAAUCCACCCGGGGAUG